UGGGCAUUUUGAGUUAGAUGUGGAACAUGCUCUGAUAUAGUUUAAGCCCAGCUUAGUAAAAGGUAGUGAACAAUGAGAGCUUUGAGAUCCUGCUGCGACGUUCCCCCAGAAAGCCUGGUAACAAUAAAAGAAAAGAAAAUCCUUCAUCAGGGAGUCUGAUCAGCUGGAUUCUACAUCAUCUGGGUUAGGGCAGAUAGCUUUGAUCAGAAGAGAUGAAAGGCUGAUGAAAUCUCCAUUGGGCCACCAAGUUUCCCCACUACUGUAUUCUGCCGCCUAAACUUAGAUGUCACUUUUCAACCAAGCUUCAUCUUGCCAGUAAUUAAAUAAGAGAAGAUCAAACACAAACAAAUCUUUUAUCUCUACCAGCAGAUUUAAAGGUAAAAGUUCUCUCCGUGGUGAGUUCUGAGUCAUUCGUCACUAAAUAUAUUAUUUCUCUUCUAGUGACUGAAAGGCACUCACUUUGCUUCAGGGUAUUUGCAUAAGGAAGAACCCUCUCCCCACCGCACCAAACUCCAUUACAAUUACAUAGAAAAAUUGUAGUGUGUCAUCACUACCACUGGUAAUGAUGACGGCCGGGCCAAAUGAUGGGCAAUAAAUCUAAAUGAAAACUCAGGUAUAUGCUGUGAAAAUAUGGGAAUAUCUCCAUGCGUGAGAAGCAGUGGGUGGCAAUCGAAUGACAGCUUUUACCCAAUGUUGGCCAUGAUCAUGAUCAUGAUUAUUUAUAUGGGUAUUUAAUUAUGACAGAUUAAGAUGGCUUCGCUAAUAGUUAGCCCACCUUGAGACCAACCUUGAACAUGUAUUUGGUGAAUAACUGCUUCACAACCUCAUUAAUCUGAUCUUGGGACCAGAUUGGAAAAGUGACAAAGGCAGAGAGGUGGCUGGGCAGGGCAGGGCAGAGGAAAGACCUUCUGCAUCAGGCCAGUGGCCCAGCUAUGGAGUCCAGCAGCAUGUUCUCACAGCGGCCAUUCAGAUGCCCCAAAGGACAUUAACAUUUUAUUAUUGUGUUAUUUUAUUUUUACUACCAGGAAGGGGGAGAGAUAGUCAUGGGAUUUUCUGCCUUGAGUACUGUGGGAUGUAUCCAGCAAAACUGUUAUGUUAGCACAAGGACUUCCGCUUGUGGAAUAGAACUUCCCCUCCUAUGCCUCCACAAUAUGUUCUAGGUCCCCCCCAAUCCCCUAGAGCUAAUGAGGGGUACACAGUGGAAAAGGAGAGAGAGAGGGGAAAUUUCAUGAUACAAGUUGAGUCUUUGGGCUAAUGGAGUGACUUGCUGGAUACAACCCUACGUGCCUUGACUCUGCGAUGUGUGUGUGAUUUCCUGCCCUCGGGCAGCAAAAUGUCUUGAGCCGGGCCUGCCUGACUCCAUCCAGCAUUCAGGCUUCAAAGAUAGUGGUUGAUUAUGAGGAAAAGAGGAGUCCAGACUCCUGAAAUGGUUCUGUACUAGUGUAUUCCAAUAAAAUAAUCUUGUCUGCUGAACACACAGCUGGGUUCAUUGAAUCCUUUUGUUUAGUCGUGGACCCAGUGCCUGUCUGUGACCAACAUUUCCCCCACCAGCCGGCAUGCGUAGCUCUAAAUAAGAAUUAAAAAAAACAACAACAAAACUCAUAGAUAACAACCCUGUGAUUUCCUACAGCCUGAGCAACAUAUUUUCCUGGAGUCCCUUCUGGAGGGGAAAACACAUUGCAACACAAUAAGCCCUGCGUUCCAUAUUGCAAGAACCACAUCAGAUGCCUGCGUCACUACUGUUUCAUUAGUUGCGCGAUAGGAAGAGCCUCUGAUUCAAAACGGAC
rnacentral:lncRNA from 1 species